GAUGAACGCUGGCGGCGUGCCUAAUACAUGCAGGUCGAGCGAACGGACGAGAAGCUUGCUUCUCUGAUGUUAGCGGCGGACGGGUGAGUAACACGUGGAUAACCUACCUAUAAGACUGGGAUAACUUCGGGAAACCGGAGCUAAUACCGGAUGAUAUUUUGAACCGCAUGGUUCAAAAGUGAAAGACGGUCUUGCUGUCACUUAUAGAUGGAUCCGCGCUGCAUUAGCUAGUUGGUAAGGUAACGGCUUACCAAGGCAACGAUGCAUAGCCGACCUGAGAGGGUGAUCGGCCACACUGGAACUGAGACACGGUCCAGACUCCUACGGGAGGCAGCAGUAGGGAAUCUUCCGCAAUGGGCGAAAGCCUGACGGAGUAACGCCGCGUGAGUGAUGAAGGUCUUCGGAUCGUAAAACUCUGUUAUUAGGGAAGAACAUAUGUGUAAGUAACUGUGCACAUCUUGACGGUACCUAAUCAGAAAGCCACGGCUAACUACGUG
rnacentral:rRNA from 1 species